rnacentral:rRNA from 1 species
AUGCAAGUCGUGGGGCAGCAGGUUUGUAGCAAUACAGAUGCUGGCGACCGGCAAACGGGUGCGUAACACGUACGCAACUUACCCAUUACUGGUGAAUAGCCCAGGGAAACUUGGAUUAAUACACCAUAACACAUAGAAAAGGCAUCUUUUUUAUAUUAAAGCUUCGGCGGUAAUGGAUGGGCGUGCGGUUGAUUAGAUAGUUGGCGGGGUAACGGCCCACCAAGUCUACGAUCAAUAGCUGAUGUGAGAGCAUGAUCAGCCACACGGGCACUGAGACACGGGCCCGACUCCUACGGGAGGCAGCAGUAAGGAAUAUUGGGCAAUGGACGAAAGUCUGACCCAGCCAUGCCGCGUGAAGGAUGAAGGUCCUCUGGAUUGUAAACUUCUUUUAUCUGGGGCGAAAACCUCCCUUUCUAGGGGGCUUGACAGUACCAGAAGAAUAAGCACCGGCUAACUCCGUGCCAGCAGCCGCGGUAAUACGGAGGGUGCAAGCGUUAUCCGGAUUCACUGGGUUUAAAGGGUGCGUAGGCGGGCAGGUAAGUCAGUGGUGAAAUCCCCGAGCUUAACUCGGGAACUGCCGUUGAUACUAUCUGUCUUGAAUACCGUGGAGGUGAGCGGAAUAUGUCAUGUAGCGGUGAAAUGCUUAGAUAUGACAUAGAACACCAAUUGCGAAGGCAGCUCGCUACACGGCCAUUGACGCUGAGGCACGAAAGCGUGGGGAUCAAACAGGAUUAGAUACCCUGGUAGUCCACGCCCUAAACGAUGAUUACUCGACAUCAGC